CACGGAGUUAGCCGGUGCUUAUUCAUCUGGUACCGUCAAGAUCGCUAGAAAGCAACCAUUUCUUCCCAGAUAAAAGAAGUUUACAAUCCAGAGGACCUUCAUCCUCCACGCGGCAUGGCUGGUUCAGACUUGCGUCCAUUGACCAAUAUUCCUUACUGCUGCCUCCCGUAGGAGUCGGGCCCGUGUCUCAGUGCCCGUGUGACUGGUCGCGCUCUCACGCCAGUUACUGAUCGUCGGCUUGGUGAGCCGUUACCUCACCAACUACCUAAUCAGACGCACGCCCAUCUUCAAGUGAUAAAUCUUUAAUUGCUGAUCGAUGCCGAUCCACAAUCCUAUGGGAUAUUAAUCCGGAUUUCUCCGGGCUAUCUCCCGCUUGAAGGAAGGUUGCGUACGUGUUCCGCACCCGUUUGCCGGUCGCCAGCGAGUAUUGCUACCCCUGCUGCCCCUCGACUUGCAUGUAUUAGGCCUGCCGCUAGCGUUCAU
rnacentral:rRNA from 1 species